ACAGGUGAGGUCCUCAGGAACA
rnacentral:miRNA from 8 species